rnacentral:rRNA from 1 species
CCUACGGUGGGCAGCAGUGAGGAAUCUUGGUCAAUGGGCGGAAGCCUGAACCAGCCAAGUAGCGUGCAGGAUGACGGCCCUACGGGUUGUACACUGCUUUUAUACGGGAAUAACGCGCCUUACGUGUAGGGCUUUGCAUGUACCGUAUGAAUAAGGACCGGCUAAUUCCGUGCCAGCAGCCGCGGUAAUACGGAAGGUCCGAGCGUUAUCCGGAUUUAUUGGGGUUAAAGGGAGCGUAGGGCGGAUGUCAAGCGUGCUGUGAAAUGUCCGGGCUCAACCCGGGCCUUGCAGCGCGCACUGGCGUGCUUGAGUCCGCGGAAAGCAGGCGGAAUUCGUCGUGUAGCGGUGAAAUGCUUAGAUAUGACGAAGAACCCCGAUUGCGAAGGCAGCUUGCUGCAGCGGAACUGACGCUGAUGCUCGAAAGCGCGGGUAUCGAACAGGAUUAGAUACCCUAGUAGUC